GGACCUGCUGCCCGUAUUAAUAUUCAGCCCUUCAGCCAAUCAGCCGAGCUGGGUGGAUGACAUCACGGGCUAGGGAACAGCGAACAGCCAGUGAAGCAUCCAGCCUGCCGAACAAGCUUUGCUUUUAGGGUCAGGAACUGGUCUGACAAGAGAAUGGCAGUCCUGCCUUUAAACCGUCACUAGGACUGUACGGCUGACGAUGAAUCCAGCGGGACUCCAGGCCCAAAGGCGAGACACCGAGCAGGAGAAUGUGAAGACAUAUUUCAGUGGUUGUGUCCUGGCCGCCGGCGUGCAGGGAGUGGGAGAUUCCUCUCGCAGGAAGCGCAGUCAUCCUGAGCAGGAGCAGGGCCUGAUGGGAGACCUGUUGUCUGGUGUGAGGAGAAUAUUAGGGAGUCAUGUCAGCGACUGAGGGAGCGCCAGAUGAUCAUAGAGGGGAAUUGGGGGAUGGGUUAGUGAAGGUGCUGCUCUCUUUGAACAUUGAUCUCCCUUACACUUCUCUCCCAGAGACUUUGCCCUCUAAGCAUAAUUUCUCCUGCUUAAUACUCGUCAUUUAUAUAAAGUAGAAGCAACCCAUUUGCAUACUCUGUACAGAAAUACAUUUAGCCAUAUUUUUCUCACUUGUAUCAGACUGAACUUUACUUAUUUUCCAUCAGUGGGGAUUACCAAAAUGGUUAAUAUUUACUAAAUCCCAGAUUACUGAGAAACUUUAAGCAUUUUGUGAGUGGCCAUGUGAGGAUUUCACAGCUUUGUAAAUGUUUGAGUUAAAUGGAUGCAAAUCUGUGGAUGUAUUUGAAGGCAACACCUCAAACACUGCUUCCUCAUCUGACAUCAUGGAAAAAUCAGAGAAAAUAAAGCAAGUAAUGAGGAAGAGAGUUUUGAACCUCCGCAUGUUGGACACAGUGAUCUGUUCAGCCAUCAGACUGUCCUGUGUCAUAGAAAUAAAAGUGUUUUGGUUUGAAAUGUGUGUUUUAGCCCCAGGGCUGUCACAAUAACACAUUUUCCUGGACGAUAAAUUGCCCCCCGAAGUUAUUGCAAAAAACGAUGAUGUUGUUGUGCUUAGACCAUUUUCAAGUUAUAAUAAUGCGAGAACACAUUCUUACAGAUCAAUAAACUUUAAAUUCUGAUGAACAUUUAGCACUGGAACUGGAAGACAUUUUAAAUAUCCA